rnacentral:sRNA from 1 species
AGGUGCCACUCGUACACACCGGUUCCUGCGCGCCGCCCAUGCGACUGCUCGUGCAGUGUAUUAGCC